CACCGCGGUUAAACGAGAGGCCCCAGUUAAUAAUACACGGCGUAAAGGGUGGUUAAGGAAAGCAUAACGAUAAAGCCGAAUGGCCCUUUGGCUGUCAUACGCUUCUAGGUGUCCGAAGCCCAAUAUACGAAAGUAGCUUUAGUAAAGCCCACCUGACCCCACGAAAGCUGAGAAA
rnacentral:rRNA from 1 species